rnacentral:rRNA from 1 species
GGACUCGUAUUAAUACCGCAUACGACCUACGGGAGAAAGGGGGCAGUUUACUGCUCUCGCUAUUAGAUGAGCCUAAGUCGGAUUAGCUAGAUGGUGGGGUAAAGGCCUACCAUGGCGACGAUCUGUAGCUGGUCUGAGAGGAUGAUCAGCCACACCGGGACUGAGACACGGCCCGGACUCCUACGGGAGGCAGCAGUGGGGAAUAUUGGACAAUGGGGGAAACCCUGAUCCAGCCAUGCCGCGUGUGUGAAGAAGGCCUUUUGGUUGUAAAGCACUUUAAGCAGUGAAGAAGACUCCAUGGUUAAUACCCAUGGACGAUGACAUUAGCUGCAGAAUAAGCACCGGCUAACUCUGUGCCAGCAGCCGCGGUAAUACAGAGGGUGCAAGCGUUAAUCGGAAUUACUGGGCGUAAAGGGAGCGUAGGUGGCUCUAUAAGUCAGAUGUGAAAUCCCCGGGCUUAACCUGGGAACUGCAUCUGAAACUGUAGAGCUAGAGUAUGUGAGAGGAAGGUAGAAUUCCAGGUGUAGCGGUGAAAUGCGUAGAGAUCUGGAGGANANANACNCGNAUGGCGAAGGCAGCCUUCUGGCAUAAUACAUAGACACUGAGGCUCGAAAGCGUGGGUAGCAAANAGGAUNAGNUACCCUGGUAGUCCACGCCGUAAACGAUGUCUACNAGAAGUUGGGUCCCUUGAGGACUUAGUGACGCAGCUAACGCAAUAAGUAGACCGCCUGGGGAGUACGGNCCGCAAGGUUAAAACUCAAAUGAANUUGACGGGGGNCCCGCACAAGCGGUGGAGCAUGNUGGUUUAAUUCGAUGCAACGCGAAGAANCCUUACCUGGNUCUUGANCANUAUCUAGAAUNCCUNGCAGAGNAUGCNGGGAGNUGNCCUUNCGGGAAUUAGAAUACANGGNUGCUGCAUGGCNUGUNCGUCAGCNUCGUGUCGUGNAGAUGUUNGGGUUAAGUCCCGCAACNGAGCGCAANCCCUNGUCCUUAGUUACCAGCGGGUUAAGCCGGGAACUCUAAGGAUACUGCCANGUGACAAACUGGAGGAAGGCNGGGGACGACGUCAAGUCAUCAUGGCCCUUACGACCAGGGCUNACACACGUGCUACNAAUGGUAGGUACAGAGGGCAGCUACACAGCGAUGUGAUGCGAAUCUCAAAAAGCCUAUCGUAGUCCAGAUUUGGAGUCUGCAACUCGACUCCAUGAAGUAGGAAUCGCUAGUAAUCGCGGAUCAGAAUGCCGCGGUGAAUACGUUCCCGGGCCUUGUACACACCGCCCCGUCACACCAUGGGAGUUGAUUGCCACCAGAAGUGGAUAGCUUUAACCCUUCG